rnacentral:rRNA from 1 species
AUUGAACGCUGGCGGAAUGCUUUACACAUGCAAGUCGAACGGCAGCACGGACUUCGGUCUGGUGGCGAGUGGCGAACGGGUGAGUAAUGUAUCGGAACGUGCCCAGCCGUGGGGGAAAACGUGGUGAAAAUUACGCUAAUACCGCAUACGAUCUAUGGAUGAAAGCGGGGGAUCGGAAGACCCCGCGAGAUUGGAGCGGCCGAUAUCAGAUUAGGUAGUUGGUGGGGUAAAGGCCCACCAAGCCAACGAUCUGUAGCUGGUCUGAGAGGACGACCAGCCACACUGGAACUGAGACACGGUCCAGACUCCUACGGGAGGCAGCAGUGGGGAAUUUUGGAAAAUGUGCGAAAUCCUGAUCCAGCCAUUCCGCGUGCAGGAUGAAGGCCCUCGGGUUGUGAACUGCUUUUGUACAGAACGAAAAGGUUUCUGCUAAUACUAGGAGCUCAUGACGGUACUGUAAGAAUAAGCACCGGCUAACUACGUGCCAGCCGCCGCGGUAA